rnacentral:tRNA from 1 species
GGGACUGUGGGGUAGCCUGGUCCAUCCUGUGCGUCUGGGGGGCGUGCGACCCGAGUUCAAAUCUCGGCAGUCCCACCA